rnacentral:sRNA from 5 species
AUGUACCCACGUACAUUCCGGUUCCUCCGCGCCGUGCGCACCCACCUGACGACUGCUCGCUACGUUUUGUUAGCC